AGUGAGAUCUUUGAGAGGAGAAAUAGGAAUAGGAAUGCAGAAUGACCAUUAAGAUAAUCAAUACAGUGUUAUUUGAAAAGUGUACAAAAAUUAAAUUCUGCAAUGAUUUAGGAUCUUCCCCCUUCCUCACUAAAUGCAAAUCCUCUUGGAACUGGUAAAACAUGUUGGAAAGGGAAAUGGGGAAAAAUACUUGGCAAUAAGGGCAUGGUUGGAGGAACAGAACUAAAGCCCUGCGCUGAAACACCAUGUUAGAACAACCCUACAAGUGGUAAACAACCACUCAAAGUCCAGAUUGUUUUCCUCGAUCCUCACUGUUUAGCAAGGAAUAGGACCUGUGAACCAUAGUUAUUUCAUGACAUAUUCACAUAAAACCUUCCAUAUUUAUAUUUAAACAUGUUGUCAUAAGCAUUCUGCAAAUGCCUUUUAGUUCUGGCUUCUUUUCCCACCACUGUUCAGACUAAGUCUGGGAACUAAUACAGUCUCUUAUUGAAGCCUCUCCUAUUCCAUCCAGUGUCCCCAGGUUCCUGACCUCAACAGACCACGUGGAUUUGGGUUGAUUGCUACACCCCAGGGAUGGCUACUAGAUUUGUUGGGAGAUGGCAAUCCAGACUACAUUUCUGUGGCUUAGCCAGACCAACUCAUACAGGGACACCUCAUUUUACUGCACUUCCCUUUAUUUAGUUUUUCGCAGAUACUGCGUUUGUUACAAAUUGAAGGCUUGUGGCGAUCCUGUGUCAAGGAAGUCGACUGGCACCAUUUUUCCAAUAGCGUGUGCUCACUCUGUGUCUCUGUGUCACAUUUUGGUAGUUCCCAUAAUAUUUCACAAUUUUCAUCAUUAUUAUAUAUUUUAAGGUGAUCUGUGAUCAGUGACCUUCGAUGUUACUCUUGCAAUUGUUUUAGGAGGCCAUGAACCAUGCCCAUUAAAUAAAAAGCUAAGAAAUGGUUAGUUAAACUUAAUGAGGAAGGCAUGUCGAAAGCUGAGACUGGUCAAAAGCUGGGCCUCUUUUGAAAGUUAGCCAAGUUGUGUAGGCAAAGGAAAUGUUCUCAAAGGAAAUUAAAAGUGUUACUCCAGUGAACAUGUGAAUAAGAAAGCAAAACAACCUGUUGCUGAAAUGUAAAAAGUCUGAGUGGUCUGGAUAGAAGAUCAAACAAGCCACAACAUUCCCUUAAGCCAAACCCUAAUCCAGAGCAAGGUCCUAACUCUCUUCAAUUCUGUGGAGACUGAGAGAGGUAAGGAAGCUGUGUAAGAAAAGUUUGAAGCUCACAGAUGUUGGUUCAUGAGGUGUAGGGAAAGAAGUUAUCUCCAUAACAUAAAAGUUCAAGGUGAAGCAGCAAAUGGCUGAUGUAGAAACUGCAGUAAUUUAUUCAGAAGAUCUAGCUAAGAUAAUUGAUGGAGGUGGCUACACUAAACAGCAGGUUUUCAGUAUAGACAAAACAGCCUUAUAUUGGAAGAAGAUGCUAUCUAGGACUUUCAGAGCCAGAGAGAAGUCAAUGCCUGAUUUCAAAGAUUCAAGGACAGGCUGACUCUGCUGUUAAGGGCUAAUACUAACUGGUAACUUUAAACAGAUACGAAUGCUUAUUUACCAUUCUGUAAAUCCUAGAGCCCUUAAGAAUUAUGCUAAAUCUACUCUGCCUGUGAACUAUAAAUGGAACAACAAAGCCUAGAUGACAGCACAUCUGUUUAUAGCAUGUCUUACUGGGUGUUUUAAGCCCACUGUCGAGCCCUACUGCUCAAAGAAAAAAAAGAUUCCUUUUAAAGUUCUACUGCUCAUUGACAAUGCUCCUGGUCAUCCGAGAGCUUUGAUGAAGAUGCACGAGGAAAUUAGUAUUGUUUUCAUGCCUGCUAACACAGCAUCCAUUCUGCAGCCCAUGGAUCAAGAAGUAAUUUCAACUCACAAGUAUUAUUUAAGAAAUACAUUUCAG
rnacentral:lncRNA from 1 species